CCUACGGGGGGCUGCAGUAGGGAAUAUUGCUCAAUGGGCGACACCCUGAUGCAGCAACGCCGCGUGGAGGAUGACGGUUUUCGGAUUGUUAACUCCUUUUGUUAGAGAAGACAAUGACGGUAUCUAACGAAUAAGCACCGGCUAACUCCGUGCCAGCAGCCGCGGUAAUACGGAGGGUGCAAGCGUUACCCGGAAUCACUGGGCGUAAAGAGCGCGUAGGCGGGAUAGCAAGUCAGAUGUGAAAUCCUAUGGCUUAACCAUAGAACUGCAUUUGAAACUGUUAUUCUAGAGUAUGGGAGAGGUAGGUGGAAUGCGUGGUGUAGAGGUGAAAUCCGUAGAGAUCAAGAGGAAUACUCAUUGCGAAGGCGACCUGCUAGAACAUAACUGACGCUGAUGCGCGAAAGCGUGGGGAGCAAACAGGAUUAGAUACCCGAGUAGUC
rnacentral:rRNA from 1 species